UUGUUUCCACUGUAAAAAUGCUAAAUUUGGAAGCAUCAGGGAAAAUUAGCAUAGCCUCUGCUAAGGAUGACACAAAUUUGUGAAAUGUUAUUUUUAAAU
ensembl:snRNA U6 U6 spliceosomal RNA